rnacentral:rRNA from 1 species
CCCUGCCCUUUGUACACACCGCCCGUCGCUACUACCGAUUGAAUGGCUUAGUGAGGUCUUCGGAUCGGCUUUUGGAACCCGGAAACGGGAUCCAGUUGCUGAGAAGUUGAUCAAACUUGGUCAUUUAGAGG